rnacentral:rRNA from 1 species
GCUCGAAAGAGUGAACUAGCUAACUGAAAUCACAUGACUCAUUCUUAUAGGUGGUGAAUGUGAUAAGGUGUAGGGAAAAAAAUGAUAUUACCUCACUAAAAGUGUUGUCCAAAUCUGGUGCCAGAAGACUCGGUAAGACCAGAAACGCAAACGUUAGUCAUCUUAAUCAGGCGUAAAGGGUAUGUAGGCAGCUUUGAAAAUUUUAAUUUUAAUAAUUUUUUUUCUAAAAUGAUUAGCUCUAUUUAUUAAAUAGUAAAAAUAAAAUCAAUUAAAGCUAGAAUCUAAUAGAGGAAAAACCAAAUAAUACUUAGAGUAGGGAUGAUAUCCAUAGAUACUAAGGGGAAUACUAAGGGCGAAAGCUUUUUUUCUAUUAAAGAUUGACGCUGAGAAACGAAGGUGAGAAUAGGAAAUAGGAUUAGAUACCCAGAUACCUCUCACUGUCAACGAUGAAUGGUGGUUGUUAGUUUUAAUAAAAACUGAUGGCGAUGUUAACACGAUAACNAUUCCGCCUUGCGAGUACGGUUGCAAAACUGAAACCAAAAAAAUUAGACGGUCUCGAAGCAAACGAAGUGAAGCAUGUUAUUUAA